AAUUGUAUCAAAUUAUCACUUGAGGACAACAGUACGAUUGACCUUCGCGUUGACCUUCGCUAGUGGACAGUACGAUUAACCUUCGCUAGUGGAGAGUAAAAGUGACCUUCGAUAAUAGGUAGUACGAUAAACCUUCGCUAGUAGAGAGUUAGCCUCGAUCCCAGGCCGAUCCGUCUCUAAUUGAACGCUAGGUCGCCUCCUCGGCCUGGUAUUGAUUGUAUCUGGGCGUGUAUCUGGGCAUGUGCUGUGGUUUCUGUGGUUGCUCAGGUAUUCGCUAAAAAAGAGGGAAUACCUGAGCAAGGUGGAGCGAAUAGAAACACUAAUAGUGUAUGUAAGCAUACUUACUCCGUAAAAUCACAAAGAACUCCGUGUCAUAGGUCUAUUCUUUGCAAGUUUAGUUUGUCAUAGAUAUAGGCUUAGCUAGCUAGAGUGUGAGGAGCUGUCUUGUGCGAAGACCUAGGUUCUCAAGUUUCUGCUAUCAGUGGCUACCUUUGAUUGACUACACAAUUUAAUACAAGCGCUUGAUUAGACCAUUGAUUGCCAGAUACACUUGGUAGAGUCUAUCCUCAGACUCUGGCCAUCGGUCUCUUGUAUACUAUGCUCAGGGGUGUCCACAAGUGGCUGGGCCUGGGAUAUAUUGUCAAGCCUAUAGUCCAAUCCUUGGUAUCUGGAUCAAGAUAUGACAUUACGGCACUGGCACUGGUGUUGUGUUAGCCUCCUUCACCGGCCUUCAAGGAAGUGCGGCCUGGGAUCGUGGCUAGUUUUGUGUGGACCAUCACUGAGCAAAAUGGAACCUUCCCCUCCAACCCCCGUUGUACUCCUCCUAGCUGAUGGGUGUGAACUCAUUGAAAGAGGAUGCCCCAGUGCCACUCAUGUCCUUCCCAAGGGUCCGAUCUUAUAGAACUACCUGCACUAAAACUACUGACGUGGAAUGGCUCUUUCAACACUUGUGGUUGCUAUCCUGACCAGUGACGUCGGGAUUCUACUGUCUCUUGAUGCACUGUGAACACACAAUCUUUGUUAUGCCACCUGAAGGCUUAGCAGGCAUAUCCAACGCAUAUUUAUUAAGUCUUUCUGGAAGCUCUUGUUUGAGAUCUUCGCUUCUAAACAUCUGCAUUUAUUAUAGACGCAGUACUGCUGUGCACGGUAUUAAUUUCUAGUGUCAUUAUAUCAUUAUAUCGCUGUAUUUUUAGCCAACUGUAUGAACUGAAGAUUUUACAGUACAUAGCUGAUACUUACCAGUUUCCGGUCACGCCCAGAUACAAUCAAUACCAGGCCGAGGAGGCGACCUAGCGUUCAAUUAGAGACGGAUCGGCCUGGGAUCGAGGCUGUCUAGAGCGGAAGUGAAUAAAUCACGUGUUGUUGAUGGGGCGGGACUAGUAAGCCUCUUUAAAGGCCGAGUUGUCUCUAAAAUAACGCACUGAGCGCGGUAAAUUUGAAUGAUGGCGUCUUGUGAG